AUGCUUCCCGCGGUGUCCAUCACUGUAUCCCGCUUACUGGAGCUCCAAGGAAGCAACAGCCAGGAGAAAUACAUCCAGGCUGAGCGGGAGAAGGGCAUCCUUCAGGAACUCUUCCUGAACAAGGAGAGUCCCCAUGAGCCUGAUCCUGAGCUGAACAAACCCAUUCCACCGAAAAUCAUCCCCUUGGGUGAGGGCAGUCCAGACAGCCACCCUUCAGAGGAGCUGCCGAAGAAGCCAAAGUACUCAGAAAAGCUCAGGCAGAUGCUGGUGGGUCCACGUCUGCUGGAUCCCCCAUCACCUUCUCGGGGAGGUGAUCCAUUCUGGGAUGGCCCAGGUGAGCCCAUGCGAGGUUGCCCAAUAUAUGGGGUUCCAGGACCUGCUCCUGGUUUAUACAAAAGAAGCCGAGUGGAUCAAGGAGAUAAUGAGCCACCAUCAUCACCUCUGUUCCAAGGAGACAGAGGAGGUCGUUCUGGAGAAGGACCCCCAAAUCGCCACCACCAGGUUCCUGGUGGUGGAGGUAUGGUUGGAGGUGGUGGGCACCGCCCCCAUGAGGGCCCUGGAGGGAGCAUGGGCAGUGGACAUCGAUCCAAUGAAGUCCCUGGACAUGGAGGACCACAUGGUCACCAGCCACAUGAUGUCCCUAGCCAUAGAGGCCAAGAUCAUCGAGGGCCACCACCUCAUGAACACCGGGGUCAUGAUGGCCAUGGGGGAGGUGGCCACUGAGGGCAUGAUGGAGGCCACAGUCAUGGAGGAGACAUGUCAAACCGCCCUGUCUGCCGACACUUCAUGAUGAAGGGCAACUGCCGCUACGAGAACAACUGUGCCUUCUACCACCCAGGGGUCAAUGGGCCCCCACUGCCCUAGGCCGGCUGCCUACCCGCACCCCUGUGGACUGCAGCCUUGCUCCUUCCACUUGGUUAUGGCUUCUGUGAGGCCCACUGUCCUUUUCCCCAGCUGAUGAGGAGCCGGCCCCCUCAGUUCCCACCUGGUUGGGUUUCUGGGGGUUUCUGAUUCCUGGUGUGCAUUGAUGUACAUAUUCCCNUCCAGUCGGAGAGGAGAGGAGAGAGACUGGACACACUCUAGAUGCUUGACUGCUGAGACGGCUGGCUUCACUCUGUGAGGAGAUUUGCCCUGUGCCCCAAACCCUUUCCAGUAUUAGCCCCACUGCCUGAGAACCUAAAGUUGGUCACUCUGGAGACCUCUGCUCUCCAUGUGCACACAGAGCUAAGUGGGUCAGCUGCACUUAGGAAACCAUCCAAGCUAAGCUCAUUAUCCUCACAGGCGAGGGGGUGGUGAGGGGUACCAUGUAUCCCACUGCACUGCACUGAGGGCUCAAGCUGGCUGAAGUUGAGUUCUGGAACCACCCCCUUGUGCCCCACAUGGGCUAGUCACUGUUGAGUCCUUUCUCAAGAAAGACUGCAACUGUUACUCGCAGGUCAUCGUGGGUCUGCUAGGUUCAGUGAUGGCACAUUCAUAUCUGUUUCCAUGGAAGUUGUUAUCUGGCAGAGGGGCAGCCUGUAGUGUUGGGCCACUCCUGCCUACAGUGGUAUUAGAGACUCCGUGAGACCAGCUUUCAUUAACUUUAGCCGGGUACAGUGGGCCUGAAGCACUACAUGCACUGCCUUUGGGAGUGGGUUGCUGCUUACUUCCCCCAUGAGGAGCCCUGUCAGUGAGGCUUCCUGGGCAGACUCAGCAGGAGGGGCCCUUCCCAGUCCUCUCCUCCCCCUGUCUUGGCAUCAGUUGUUUUCUAUGAAAACAGUGGGUUGGUUUUGUGCAGGGUCUUGGGUUAGAACCACAAUGGAUUUGAGGAGUUUUUCUUUUGGUUUUGUAUAUUUUGUACAUUAAUAAUAAACAGUGGAAAG